CCGAGCAGAGCGAGAACCCCAAAAGCGAAACCGGCCGGCAGAGCAGUACCGAACGGGGGCAAGACAAGUCGCUCCAGAGCAGCGAAGUCGCUCCAGAGCAGAGAAGUCGCUCCAGAGCAGCGAAGUCGCUCCAGAGCAGAGAAGUCGCUCCAGAGCAGCGAAGUCGCUCCAGAGCAGCGAAGCACAACGCCAGAGCGGAGCUCAAAGCCAGAGCAGGCCUCGAUUCCA
rnacentral:lncRNA from 1 species